rnacentral:rRNA from 1 species
GACGAACGCUGGCGGCGUGCCUAAUACAUGCAAGUAGAACGCACAGUUUAUACCGUAGCUUGCUACACCAUAGACUGUGAGUUGCGAACGGGUGAGUAACGCGUAGGUAACCUGCCUGGUAGCGGGGGAUAACUAUUGGAAACGAUAGCUAAUACCGCAUAAUAUUGAUUAUUGCAUGAUAAUUAAUUGAAAGGUGCAAUUGCACCACUACCAGAUGGACCUGCGUUGUAUUAGCUAGUAGGUGAGGUAACGGCUCACCUAGGCGACGAUACAUAGCCGACCUGGGAAGGUGGACGGCCCCCCUGGGACUGGGACACGGCCCAGACUCCUACGGGAGGCAGCAGUAGGGGAUCUUCGGCAAUGGACGAAAGUCUGACCGAGCAACGCCGCGUGAGUGCAGAAGGUUUUCGGAUCGUAAAGCUCUGUUGUAAGAGAAGAACGGGUGUGAGAGUGGAAAGUUCACACUGUGACGGUAUCUUACCAGAAAGGGACGGCUAACUACGUG